AGUGAACGCUGGCGGUAGGCCUAACACAUGCAAGUCGAACGGCAGCACCGUAAGAGCUUGCUCUUACGGGUGGCGAGUGGCGGACGGGUGAGGAAUACAUCGGAAUCUACUUUUUCGUGGGGGAUAACGUAGGGAGACUUACGCUAAUACCGCAUACGACCUACGGGUGAAAGCAGGGGAUCUUCGGACCUUGCGCGAUUGAAUGAGCCGAUGUCGGAUUAGCUAGUUGGCGGGGUAAAGGCCCACCAAGGCGACGAUCCGUAGCUGGUCUGAGAGGAUGAUCAGCCACACGGGAACUGAGACACGGUCGAGACUCCUACGGGAGGAAGCAGUGGGGAAUAUUGGACAAUGGGGGCAAGCCUGAUCCAGACAUACCGCGUGGGUGAAGAAGGACUUAGGGUUGUAAAGCCAUUUUGUUGGGAAAGAAAAGCAGCAGGUUAAUACCCCGAUGUUCUGACGGUACCCAAAGAAUAAGCACCGGCUAACUUCGUG
rnacentral:rRNA from 1 species